ensembl:miRNA
AGGUGGGAGGAUUGCUUGAGCCCAGGAGGUUGAGGCUGCUGUAAGCCUUGAUCGCACCACUGCACUCCAGCCUGAGUGACAGAGUGAGACCUUGUCUCA